rnacentral:tRNA from 13 species
UGACCCGGACGUGAAUUAAACACGCAGCCUUCUGAUCUGGAAUCAGACGCGCUACCGUUGCGCCACCGAGUC